AACGCACGAGACCUGCGGACCUGCGGAGGGAUCAUUAGUGAAGAACAUGAACAGGUCUCUUGCUUGCAAAGAAUCUGUUCACCUCACCAUCCAUAACACCUGUGAAUUGUAAGAUGUGGUGGACUAUUAUCAGUCCCCUGUCUGCUCCCAUUUUUAACAUCUAGUGGUAACAAAAGUAGUCUUAUUAUAAUGUAAUAAAACUUUUAACAAUGGAUCUCU
rnacentral:misc_RNA from 1 species